rnacentral:lncRNA from 1 species
GAGAUAUGUCAGUAGUUUUUAAUAAGCUAUUUGAUAUAACACUUUAAAGCUUCCCAGUACAUCAUUUGCUUUCAUAUAGCAAAUUUUUCUGUAAGAAUUCAAUACUGGGAAUAUAAGCAAACAUCACAUUUGUGGGACCAUCACAUGAACAAUGGAUUGACAUUAAAUCGGUUAAUCCAAUUUAGAAGUCAUUUCCUGACCAUCUACUGCUAGGCACAAUGGGGUAUGC